GAGGAUACCCUAGAAUCUGCAACCUUUACACGCACUCCUGUGUUUGCACCCGUAUGUCACCGACCAGGAGUGCAAAGAUGCAGCGACACUCAACGUGACAUGCGAAAGUUGUGGAGGAUAACUGCACUGUGAUGGUGAAAACAGCACAUGCUGCCGGCGCUUGUGAAUGAAAGAAUAAUACGAGACGAACGAAAGGGAAAGGUAGCAGAAAAUACGAAUUUAGCCCGAUAUUUUAUUUGCUUCUAUAAGAUUUUCAGUUUAUGAUCAAUGUUAGUUUGAAUAAGGAAGGUUAUUUAAAUAUUGUUAUCACGUGUGUUGCACAUUAUCUCUACUUGUGCUAUCUGAAAUAUUAUGGAAAAAUCGUCGUAAUAUUCUCCAUAAAACCAAUCUCGCCAAAAUCAGUUCGAUGCAAUGUAUGCUAUCUAUUUGCUUCUGUAAGAUUUCUAGUUAAUGAUAAAUGUUUGUUUGAAUAAGGAAGUUAUUUUGACAUAUUGUUAUCACGUGUGUCGCACAUUAUCUCUACUUAUGCUAUCUGAAAUAUUAUGAAAAUUCGUCUUUGCAAUUCGCACUUCUGUCGUAAUAUUAUCCAUAAAACAAAUCUCGCCAAAAUCAGUUCGAUGCAAUGUAUGCUAUCGCUAUUUGGUGACAACCUUCCACAAUAUUAGGAUCCCUUUAUAUUAUUUUCCGUGUGUUAUUUGCGUAUCUAUUUCGAUCAAUUAUUUUAUGCUAUUUACUCUUUGAAGUCAAAAUACUGUUGUUCGUUUAACACUUUUUGUAACCAUCAUAAUUAUUAAAUCAUUUUACACGUUACU